UGAGUUUGGGGUGUGGUUCAGUGAGUUUGUGUGAGGAAUGUGCCUGGGCUAAUGAGGUGCGAAUUGCCCAAUUAGCCCAGGCACCUGUAUAAAAGGGAGUGGUUGGGUAUGUUAGUUGGUGAGUGUUUGUGAGAGUGAGAAGACCUGUAUGAGAGAAUCCUGACUCUGAGUCUCCUUACCCCGCAACUCUGGCUGGUUGUAGGUGCAGACUCAGAGCUCACAUGAGAAGAUCCAUCAACAGUUGCCAUCUGAAUAAAAAAGAGGACAGGCAGGUUAUCUUUUGUUCAGCAGCCCAGAGCGGUAGUAUUGCUUCACUUACUGUGACCUGACACUGUUGCUUCUGCAGCAUGACCAGCUGUUCCUUCUCAAGGGGUUGAUUAAGAACAGGGCAGAGCUUCGCCACCGCUUGGGCCCAGACUCUAAACUCUCAGUGCUGUUUCCAGA